rnacentral:rRNA from 2 species
GGGUUGUGAGGUUAAGCGACUAAGCGUACACGGUGGAUGCCCUGGCAGUCAGAGGCGAUGAAGGGCGUGCUAAUCUGCGAUAAGCGCCGGUAAGGUGAUAUGAACCGUUAUAACCGGCGAUACCCGAAUGGGGAAACCCAGUGUGAUUCGUCACACUAUCAUUAACUGAAUCCAUAGGUUAAUGAGGCGAACCGGGGGAACUGAAACAUCUAAGUACCCCGAGGAAAAGAAAUCAACCGAGAUUCCCCCAGUAGCGGCGAGCGAACGGGGAGGAGCCCAGAGCCUGAAUCAGCAUGUGUGUUAGUGGAAGCGUCUGGAAAGGCGCGCGAUACAGGGUGACAGCCCCGUACACAAAAGCGCAUGUGCUGUGAGCUCGAUGAGUAGGGCGGGACACGUGGUAUCCUGUCUGAAUAUGGGGGG